CUCAUCUUUAGAAGUGGAUCCCUGCAGUACUUAUUGUAUAUCUUCUCCAGAGUUGCUUAUUUUCUUUAUUAAAAAAGUGUGUUAUCAUCCACUCUGUUUUCUUGUGUAGCCCUAAGAGAACUUUCCAUGUUGUAAAUGGAAUUUCCUUUACUAGGUGUUUCAAAACUGUCAUUGCUAAAAACUACAAAUAUAUUCAGAGUCUUGUUUUCUGUUGUUGAUUUGCAUUUUUGCAUCUCUUUUCCUAAAGGAUCAUUUGAAUAGACCUUCACUGAAUACUGAAUCAAAAAAAUAUUUCCCGCUGUCUUCAGUUUUGAACUCUCUAUAUUAAAUGAUUUCCAGCUGUUGAUCUGUGGAUUCCUGAAGGGUCAAGUUAAUCACCAGCUUUGAGCUGAUGUUUCCCCACCAAGCUGGGCUGGCAGACUUCAGGCUUUUCAACUCCUCUGUAGCAGCCUUAAAAGCAUGCAGAAAAAACUGCCACGAUGGAAUAGAGCGACUGUGCCGCCUAGUGGGCAAAGGCAGCUGCCGGGGGCUGUGUGUUCUUGCCUGGGGGGGUAAAUCCUUUUUAGCAGCUCUUUUUUUUUUUUUUUUUUUUCUCAAACAGCCUUAAAAGCAUGCAGAAAAAACUGCCACGAUGGAAUAGAGCGACUGUGCCGCCUAGUGGGCAAAGGCAGCUGCCGGGGGCUGUGUGGGCUGGGCUGCGGGGGGAAAUCCUCGGUAGCAGCUCCUGCAGAUGUCGUCUUUUUUCUGUCCCUGAGCACAGAGUGAAGUGACCUGUGAUCACUUGCACCUAGUGAUCUCUGUUUCUUCACUCUCAUUAUUUGAAAGCUCCCAAUGCUGAUUUAGAUAGUUGAUGUACUCAUCAUAUAUGACCUUUUCAUGGACAAGAGACAGAGUUAAUGUAAGACUCUCAAGUCUGGGUAGUUCUUGCAUAUAGUGUUCACCAGCACAGAUUGACUGAGAGAGUCCAAGCAACGUUCACAAGUGACCUAUAUCUGUUGUGGCUGAUGGGAACCAACAAACAAUUUGCAGUAUGAAAUUUGCUUCCAGAUUCUGUUCAAUAUAUCAUCAGUGCAAUCAUUAUCAUAGAAGAUCAGAGAGCAAAGCAAUACAUGCAAUUGCUUUAUCUGAAUGCCUUGUCUUUCCCUCCCUUGCUCAUUGAACGAGUCUACCUAAUGUCAGACUCAAUAAAGUCAGGCAGCUGGCUAUAAGAAGCA
rnacentral:lncRNA from 1 species